rnacentral:miRNA from 1 species
UUUUCUUCUUCUUCUUCGUA